rnacentral:rRNA from 1 species
GAAAUACCGAUACAGGGCCUUUUUCGGUCUUGUGAUUGGAAUGAGUACAAUUUAAAUCCAUUAACGAGGAGCAAGCACAGGGCAAGUCUGGUGCCAGCAGCCGCGGUAAUUCCAGCUGUGCGAGCAUACAUUAAAGUUGUUGCAGUUAAAACGCCCGUAGUUGAAACUCGGGCCUGGCCCGCCGGUCCGCCUCACCGCGUGCACUGGUUGGGCCGGGUCUUUCUCCCUGGAAAUCCGCAUGCCCUUCGCUGGGCGUGCCGGGGGACCAGGACUGUUACUGUGAAAAAAUCAGAGUGUUCAAAGCAGGCCUUUGCUCGAAUGCCUUAGCAUGGAAUAACGGAAUAUGACGAGAGGU